rnacentral:rRNA from 1 species
AGUGAACGCUGGCGGCGUGCCUAACACAUGCAAGUCGAACGAUGAUGGAGGAGCUUGCUCUUCCUGAUUAGUGGCGCACGGGUGAGUAUACCAUAGAUAAUGUACCCCUUAGUUCGGGAUAGCCACUGGAAACGGUGAUUAAUACCGGAUACUCCUCCUCGUUAUAAGACGAGUCGGGAAAGUUUUUUCGCUAAGGGAUCAGUCUAUGUCCUAUCAGCUAGUUGGUGAGGCAAUGGCUCACCAAGGCUAUGACGGGUAUCUGGUUUGAGAGGAUAAUCAGACACACUGGAACUGAGAAACGGUCCAGACUCCUACGGGAGGCAGCAGUGAGGAAUAUUGCACAAUGGAGGAAACUCUGAUGCAGCAACGCCGCGUGGAGGAUGACGCAUUUCGGUGUGUAAACUCCUUUUAAGAGGGAAGAUUAUGACGGUACCUCUUGAAUAAGCACCGGCUAACUCCGUGCCAGCAGCCGCGGUAAGAC